rnacentral:rRNA from 1 species
AGUGAACGCUGGCGGUAGGCCUAACACAUGCAAGUCGAACGGCAGCACAGUAAGAGCUUGCUCUUACGGGUGGCGGGUGGCGGACGGGUGAGGAAUACAUCGGAAUCUACUUUUUCGUGGGGGAUAACGUAGGGAAACUUACGCUAAUACCGCAUACGACCUACGGGUGAAAGCAGGGGAUCUUCGGACCUUGCGCGAUUGAAUGAGCCGAUGUCGGAUUAGCUAGUUGGCGGGGUAAAGGCCCACCAAGGCGACGAUCCGUAGCUGGUCUGAGGGGAUGAUCAGCCACACUGGAACUGAGACACGGUCCAGACUCCUACGGGAGGCAGCAGUGGGGAAUAUUGGACAAUGGGCGCAAGCCUGAUCCAGCCAUACCGCGUGGGUGAAGAAGGCCUUCGGGUUGUAAAGCCCUUUUGUUGGGAAAGAAAAGCAGCAGGUUAAUACCCCGCUGUUCUGACGGUACCCAAAGAAUAAGCACCGGCUAACUUCGUG